AGUUGUGGAGUUUGCACACACUCCCUGGCAGUGACGAGCAGGGCUGUCUAUGUCAAGCCGACAGUAGGAGUCGCGCUUCAAGUCCCAGGAGGGUUUUAACACUACAGGGCUGAAAGAGAAAAGAACUCCCGGUGCUGUAUUAUGAACUGCAAGAACCUCCGGUCAUGAGGAUACAAACAUCCAUGCCACCACCACCACCAGUCUUCAGGCAACCGCAAGAACAGUAUGCUCCCAGGCAUGAGCAUGGUUGGAUGGCUUCAGUUGAGGACCCAGGAGUGAUGCCACCACCAUUGCCAUAUGACCCCUGACAAGAUUCCUGGCCAGAGAAAUAUCCUUCCUUUGGCUUUGACUGGGAGCCAAGACAGUCAUAAAGGGUCCAUGUAUUUACCCCCCACAGCACAUUCUCAUGGCAGUCAUGGAUUUUACCCACAGACUAUGUCACAAGAAGUGCCAAUUGGACACCCCAGAAUCUUCUAAAACCAGGAGAACAAGGAAAUCCACAACAGUCACCUCAGCUCCCUCAUCCAAGAAGCCAAAAAAUAAAUACAUAUUAUUAUAGUUCACCAUAAA